UGGGGGUAAUGGGGGAGACUAUAGGCAAUAUAGCCUACUUGAAUAGUUAUACAUGCAUAACUGUAAAGCCAGUUAUACUUUAAACCCCCCAACAAAAAGGAGUAAACUUAAAAUCAUAUAUUGAGAGAGAGUUAGCUAAAGAUAGGUCUGAGCAAAUGUGUUUUGAUAGGAAAAGUUAUCUAAUUAUCCAGCUGGCAGCAAUGGAGGGAGGAGUAGACCAGUCAACUAGCAACAAAAAAUGCUGUAUUGGUAAUUUAACAUGGAUUUUGAGGACUUAAAAUCCCCAAAAGUAAGAAGAAAGAGCUUCAACAUGAAACUCAAGGAUCACAUCUCCAGAUCGGGUCAUUCACAGCACGAGGAGAUGAAGUGGCCUUCUUACUGGGGGUUUCGACUUCAAAACUGUCACUGCAGAAGAUAAUGAACAUCAAAAAAGCUGUUACAAGGAAGGUUGUUCCAAAGCAGAGCGGCACUGAUGGAUAACUAAAUAACCAUGGUUUUAGUAAAUGCCCACACCACUUUUGGGAAAUGCAAAUAUGUAAACAGACAAAUACCUAUUACAUAUUCAUAUUAAUAAAAAAAAUGAUCUUAA